rnacentral:lncRNA from 1 species
ACACGGCCAACACACGCUACAUUUAUCUCCCAUCCGGAUCCCUCGCGACCUCCUCCUGGAAGACCGACGCCGACGUCCACGUCCUGCUCCUCCCUUCCCAACGCAAGCUCUUCCUCUCUCCCUUCUCCGUUGUUGAUGUCGCCCUGCUUCCUAGAUGGACCAUGGCGGCGGGUCAGGCUCGGUGCGUGAGCUCCUAGCCACCGGCCGGAACCCUAGCCGCCGGUCAAAAUCCUAGCCACCGGCUGAAGGGGUGGCCGCACUUCUUCUCCGCUGACCAGAUCAAUUGUGGAUGGCCGUCCUUCUUCUUCUGCAGUCAGAUGCACGGCGAGUCGGCUGCCCUUCUUCUCCUCUGGCCAGAUCCACGACAUGGCAGCGAACUCCAGGACGCGGUGGCACCGGCUGCAGUAGCAGGUUUGUUGUUCCCUCUCUUUUUCCCCUCUCUCUUGCAGGCUGUGCGAUGGAUCUAUGGGUGGUGGAUCUGGUGUGGCGGGGUCUCCGCAUGGUGGUGGCUCUCCGGAUUCGGUCCACAAAAUCUUG